rnacentral:rRNA from 1 species
UGGAGCGAAUCUCCAAAAAUUAGUCCCAGUUCAGAUUGCAGGCUGCAACUCGCCUGCAUGAAGUCGGAAUUGCUAGUAAUCGUGGAUCAGCAUGCCACGGUGAAUACGUUCCCGGGCCUUGUACACACCGCCCGUCACACCAUGGGAGUCGGUAACACCCGAAGCCUGUAGUCUAACCGCAAGGAGGACGCAGUCGAAGGUGGGAUUGAUGACUGGGGUGAAGUCGUAACAAGGUAUC